rnacentral:lncRNA from 1 species
AGUGUUUGUACAAACCUGGUAAUAAAACGUGUUGUGAUUCCCUUAGCCCCAACCUACAAUCGAUAUCACCCUUCAAUUAAUUGUAUACUUAAUACUUAUCUUUACCAAAACCGAAACUUCACCUUUCACCUUACCUUGACAAGUUAUAAUAGCCUCUUCUUUAAGCACUAACCGUGAUCAACUUUUAGAUCUGCACAAAUCUUA